rnacentral:rRNA from 1 species
AGCAGCCGCGGUAAUUCCAGCUCCAAUAGCGUAUAUUAAAGUUGUUGCAGUUAAAAAGCUCGUAGUUGAAUUUCGGGAUCAAUUAAUUGGUCGUGCCUCUGGUACGUACUGAUUUUAUUGGUUCCUCCCUUCUGACGAACCAUGAUGUCAUUAAUUUGAUGUCGUGGAGAAUCAGGACUGUUACUUUGAAAAAAUUAGAGUGUUUAAAGCAAGCUAACGCUUGAAUACAUUAGCAUGGAAUAAUGAAAUAGGACGUUUGAUCCUAUUUUGUUGGUUUCUAGGAUCGACAUAAUGAUUAAUAGGGAUAGUUGGGGGCAUUAGUAUUCAAUUGUCAGAGGUGAAAUUCUUGGAUUUAUUGAAGACUAACUACUGCGAAAGCAUUUGCCAAGGAUGUUUUCAUUAAUCAAGAACGAAAGUUAGGGGAUCGAAGACGAUCAGAUACCGUCGUAGUCUUAGCCAUAAACUAUCGCCGACGUAGGGAUCGGAUGAUUAGUUUUAAAUUUUUAAUGUACUCAGUUCC